CCCAGUACAACAAUGUCUUCCAAACUACAGCCAUAUUCUGAUGUCAUAGCCUUUACUGUAGCCAUGGCAACACCUAACAAAGUACCUUUCCAUCCAGAAUGAGCAACCCCACAUGUUUUUUUGACAGGAUCUGCAAAAACUAUAGGCAUACAAUCAGCACCAAGUGCUACAAUUGUGACUCCUCUCUGAUUUGUGGUUAUUCCAUCAUAAAAUUCAGGCUCCUUUACCCCCAUGAUUCACACUUCAUUGGUAUGAUCAGUCUUUAUUCGGUAAAAUUUCUCUGCAUUAAAUCCUGCAGUAUUCACCAACCUACACAGGUUUUCUUGAACACUGUUUUACGAUCUCCAUUUGGAACUACUGAAGAGAUUGAAAGAGCUAAGAGUUGUGUAUACUCCCUGGAUCACUAUGAGAAAAAAACUGUGGAAGGAUUAGGAAGAGAAUCAGGGAAUCAAGUGGAAGGAAAAGAAAGUUCUCAAAAGGAAAGAACAACUGGAAUGAGGGAAAGGAGAAAAGAAAAAGAAGCAAGGGGAAAAUCAUAUAUAUAUAUAUAUAUAUAUAAUGGCUAAGAGAAUUGUACUACCAAUUUCUAUUGGCUUAUUGAAAGGAACAGUUAAUGCUUCAUUUUUAUUUUUCACCAAUUUUGUAUGCUUAUAUCUGAUUAUCUGAACAACUACUUUGAAGACAACGAUAUGCAAUAUACAAUAUAAC
rnacentral:lncRNA from 1 species